GACGAAUCAUACAAAAUAAAAAUAAAUACUUUGAUAGAUAAAUAUGAAAAAUUAAGAAAUAAAAAAGUCUAGCAAUCGUGUGGGAUCUUUUUAAAAUAGAAGUAAGAGAGAAAACUAUAGAACAUUGUAAAUUAAAAGCUAAACAUAAAAGAGAUGAAAUUACAAAACUAGAACAAGAACUUAAACUUUUGAAUGAAAUUCAUGAUAACAACCUGGAUGGAAAAAAUAAUUUGCCAAAUAUAAUAGAUUCAAUAAAUAAAACAGAAGAAACGCUACAAACUCUAUAUUCAGAUAAAAUAAAAGGGGCACAAAUAAGAUCACGAGUUAAAUGGAUAGAAGAGGGCGAAAAAAAUAUACAAAAUAUUUCUUGGGAUUAGAAAAAUCAAGACAAAACAAGGAAAAACAUUACUGCUAUAAGGGACAGUAAAGGAGAAAUAACAGAAGAUCAAGGCAAAAUAUUAGAAACGGGGAGAAAUUAUUAUGUCAAUUUAUAUAAGUCAACUAACCCUGAUCUAACAGAAAUUGAAAAUUAUAUUGAAAAAACUAAAAUAAAUUACAAAUUAAGUACAAAAGAAGGUAAUGAAAUUGACGGCAACCUGACAAUAGAGGAAUGUACACAAUCUGUUUUUAAAAUGAAACUUAAUAAAACACCAGGUAUCGAUGGUCUCUCAAUUGAAUUUUAUAGAGCUUUCUGGUCAAACUUACAAAACUUUGCUGUAGAUGUUUUUAAUAAUUGCUAUGAAAAAAAAAGAAUUAACAAAUUCUCAGAAACUUGGAUUAAUUACCCUUAUAUACAAGAAAAACGACCCAUUAAAUUUAGAUAAUUAUAGACCAAUUACCUUACUAAAUGUAGAUACCAAAAUUAUAGCAUACUCUCUUGCACAAAGACUGAAACCAAUAUUGCAUAAAAUCAUUCAUAGUGAUCAAAACGGUUAUGUAAAAAACAGAUAUAUAGGAUUUAAUAUUAGACAAAUCCAAGAUAUUAUAGAUUAUUCGGAAAAAUUCAAUGUAGAUGGAGCUAUCCUAUUUUUAGACUUCACAAAGGCAUUUGACUCGCUAGAAUGGGAAUUUAUGUAUUGUUCUUUAAAGAAAUUUGGCUUCCAGGAAUCUCUUUUGAGGUGGAUAAAUACGUUUAUACACAGAUAUAAAGGGUUGCAUAUUAAAUAAUGGCUGGAUUUCAAGACCCUUCAACAUUGAGCGCGGAAUCCGUCAAGGGUGUCCCGCGAGUUCUAUAAUUUUCGUAAUUGCUGUUGAAAUUUUAGCUAGUAGAUUAAGACAAAAUAAAAAUUUUAAAGGUUUUCAAAUUAAACUAGAUAAUAAAACCC
rnacentral:lncRNA from 1 species